rnacentral:rRNA from 1 species
GACUCUGGGCGGUGGAUUACUUGGCUUGUGUGUCUACUAAGAACACAGCUAGCUGUAGAAGUGAUUGUGAAUGGCAGGACGUACAUUGGUUGCUGACGGUUUGAAUGCACUUGUGACCUGAGUUCAUCUUGGGGCUCUGACUGUCUGAGCAUCA